UCCCAAUCCAGACAAAGGGGACGACGGAUCCGCGGCGGCGCGCACUGAGCCUGAGCAUCUCAGCACCUUGGAUUGAUCCGACGCGCAAGAACGCACCGGCACACACGCGAGCACGCCCUCCAGAUCUACCUGAAACCUCCACGCCAGUUAAUUGUCAUUGUUGAAGGGCGAGAAAAGGGAGAUUGAACCCCGAUUUUAUUCGCAGCCUCGCCGUGUUCCCAUGAUGUCAUACCUGUGGAUUCUGCUAUUAGGAAGCCUGCUGGCUACGCACGCCAAGGCACAAGAUGAUAUAAUCCCAACAGUAGAGCCAUCUAUUGAAACUCCCACAUCUAAAGCAGAUGUAGAGGUCAUCGACCAGCAUAACCUUGGGGAGGUGGUCACUGCAACUGAGGAAGUAUUGCAGCCUGAGCCCACUGCUGACCCUGAGGCUGAAUUAAUCCAAGAAGCAAAUGCUGCAGAUGUAAGCACAGAGCCAGUGCCUACAGAUGCUCCUGCAGGGGAGGAGGGUCAAUCAGCGAGUCCUACGACUGGAGAAACAGAACCAGUUAUUUCUGACGCGCCUACAACUACACAAGCUGCUGAUUCUGAGGAUGACACUCCAGAAGCUACGCAAACAGCAGUUAAUGAGGAGGCGCAACCCACCACAAAUGCGAAUACAACACCUGCUCAAGACGAGAGUGGACUUCAUGACAUCAUAACAACAGUAGGUCUAGAAGCCAAUGAGGAGGCACCAACUGAUCCAUCUGCUAAUGAAGAGUCAUCCACAGAUGAUUUCACAACCACAGAUGAAACUGUCACUAUAAAUCCAGGGUUUAACAUUGAGAAGACGUCAAUUGCAGAGCAGGAAACACAUGUGUUAAACCAGGAAACUCCCGUGAAGAGCAGGAUGGGACCACGGCAGAAUUCAGGUAAUAAUAAUAAUAAUAAUAAUAAUGGAUUGGAUUUAUAUAGCGCUUUUCAAGGCACCCAAAGCGCUUUACAAUGCUACUAUUCAUUCACUCUCACAUUCACACACUGGUGGAAGCAGCUACGGUUGUAGCCACAGCUGCCCUGGGGCCGACUGACGGAAGCGAGGCUGCCAUAUUGCGCCAUCGGCCCCUCUGCCCAACACCCGGGGAUCGAACCGGCGACCUUCCGGUUACAGAUGCGCUUCCCAUCUGUAACCGGAAGUUGGGAAGUUGGGAAGUUAUUGCUCAUAAUAAUUUCAAUUCAGUUUAGUGUCGUAACCAAUAACCAUCUCUUAGGGAUCAACUGUCAUGGCCCCAUCGACAUGGAGGGCUACAUGCUUUUUGCUUCAAUGUUUUUAAAAACACAUUGGCAAGAUUGAUUGACUAACAGGCUUAUUGAUUGUCUAAUUUAUUGAUUGAUUGAUUGAUUAAUUCAUUCAUUUAUUCAUCCAUUUAUUGACUAUUUUACUAUAUACAGGGUUAAACCAGGAAAGUCCCGUGGAGAAGAGGGUGGUAGCACACCAGGAGUUAGGUGGUUAGUAAUUGCUCAUAACAAUUAAAAUUCAGUUUAUUCUUGUAACCAAUAACCGAAAAUGUCCAGAAUAAAUAAAGAUAUGAAACAACACAACCAGUGCAAUGAGAUUAGCCCUGUUUACGACAGCGACUAGAUCUUAGGGAUCAACUAUGAAUAGUUGUAUUUGUAUAUCCAGUUGAGUCUUUUGCCUUAGCUGCCAUCAUCUAAUUAUCUAUUAUUUUUAAGUGGUGAAAUUAGAGUCUUAAAGCCAUUAAGAUGCAAAAUAUUACAGGGGAAAUUAGUGACAAGACUGUUGUCAUCUUCAUAAAGGUUUAAAAAAAAUAACAAAGUUAUUCCUCUACCAAAAAUUUUUUUAGCACUUGAUCACUUGAAAACUGCAUCACAGACUGGGGUUUGAGAUGGUCCUCUGGUAGCUCUAGAGCCUGGUACAACAGGGCUAAUGCACCAUAUUCACAGUAGGUCUUGAGCAAGGGUUAAAUUGGGAUUUGAAACUUCUUAGAGUACUUAUUAUUUGUGAAUAGUGGUCAAUAUUUUAGUGGGUGUUUAGCCUACUGUAUAGUACAUCUACCACUGAAUGUAUUCAUAUUAACACAUUUCAGUGCAAAAUUAGUUCAUACUGUUAGCACCUGUACAACAUAACCAGCAAGAAGUGUAUAAACUAUGCAUGAUAUUGUUUAAGUCAAACCAAAUGCUAAUCGUUACUGUGUAGUUAAAUGUGACUGAGCUCAAGACGCUGGCAGCUCCCAUUUAAAUCCAAUGAAAGGGGGACAGAAACACCAUGUUAUAGUGUGUUAGAUUUGUGAUAUGUAUUCAUAAACAUCUGAUAAGAAAUUCCCAUUCCGAGAAUAAUUUUGCAUUUCUUUAUUGAUCCACGGUAUUUGUUAAUUUUAUUUCAUUUAUUUUUUUAGCACCUCUGUCAAACGACGAAAAUAAAAGCGAAGAUGGUUGGUAUUCAUUCAUAACUAUUAUGGUUGAAUUUAUUGUUGUAUCCAAACUAAAAAUGUCCUGUGUAUGUACAAAGUUAGCAUUGCAAUCAGGGGCUAGUAAGGUGUAGUUUGGUUUUCAUAAAACAUUCUUCUCAUUUCUCUUGUCUCUCUAUUGGAAGAAGGCUGUCGGUUCAGUGCCUUGCUCCCAUGACAAGGUGCUGAACUGACUUGUUUUACAAAAGCUUAAUCACUAACCUUGCGGCAAUAUGACAGAAAUGUGGGAACAGCAGAUUUUCCUGAAGCAGCUUCUCAGUUCCCUCCUGAAAUGUGAAAACUCAAAAGUAGUAUAAUCAUUUAUAUACUUGCGAAGGGUGAAAGACUCCUCUUUAGUACUCUGUUAUUAGCAGCUUCUUCAAGUUGAAGCAAGUAAAGGGCAAGGAUGAUGUCACAGACAUAUACAGACAGGCAGUGCAGAAGGAGAUAACAGGGUUGUUUGAGUGUGGAUAAAAUCAAAGAUCAGGUUGUGAAAGAGCUGGAGAAAGUGUUUGUCUCUCUCUCGCUCUCUCUCUGUGAGAUAUUUUAUCGCUCUGAUGCUAUAAAAGUAUCUUUGCCAUCUUUGUAACUGUACAUAAGGGAUGUUUCAUACAAUCUUGUGUAUGCAUGAGCGUGUGUGUGUGUUUGUACAGUCUAGUUAGGACAGAAACUUUAGAACUCUUAAUGCCCCUGAGGUUACAAGUCACUGUAAAGAGAAUAAUCUCACCUUUCUUCUUUUUUUCCACUUUGUCAUUUCAGCAACAAUGCUUUACAUGCAUCAUUAGAGCAUUUAAAUAAUACCUUCUCUCUCCUUUCUUGUCUUUCUGUCUCUCUUUAGUGCCUGCUUUGGGUGCCUCAGGGAGUGAUGCAGAUCAACAGCCCCAAAAGGCCAGCUCAAGCUCUUUAGCAGCAAUCCUUAGUGCGAUUGUUGUGUCUGCAGUGGGAGCAAUCGCUGGAUACUUCACCUAUCAACAGAAGAAGCUGUGCUUCAAAAAUAGACAGGAAGCAGACCCUGAGGCUCCACACAAAGCUGAUGCAGCAGAGGCUCGGUCAGAUCCCCAGGUUCUUAGCAACCUUCUGAACUCCUCCUAGACCUGAAACGAUCACCUUACCGCCCGGGCCAACUACAGUCUAACAAAGUGGCAGUCUCACUGUUCGGCUCUGUCCUCUGUAGAGCUAAAUUACUGUGAGGCCCCAGAGUAGGGCUGCGUGUUUCAGUCUGAAUUUCUAUGUCUGUAUGUUGCUCUACACGAGCUUGCGUGGAUGUGUCUCAGUGUGCGUGUGAAUAAUAUCCGUUCAUUCUUGUGUGUGCAUAAAUGUGGAAAGAAGGAGCUAGAAAAAGAUCAUGUGAUCUUUAGGGCUUUCAUUAUUGUUAAAAAAAUGUAUUAAAAUAAUUGGUCAAACACUCUACUUUAAACCAAAUUAUUAUAAUUUUUUUCAGAGUGGCCAUUAAAGAGAUUUAAUCUCAAUUUACGUAUAACCAUAAAAUGGAUUAAUUAUAUACCUACCUUUUAAUUUUAUUUAUAUGGCUACUAUUAAUUCAAUGUAAAUACAAAACAGUAACUGAAAUCGAUGUUGUAGGUGUUUAACUUGUAAUUGUUUCUUUGGAAUUUUAUACAAUUUUGCCAUUGUUGAACUGCCCGUAUGAUUUUAAAUCAUUUAGAUAAGACAUUUCUUUUUCAAUUAUCUAUAGUACAGAUGCAGGUUAACUGGAUAACAGGGGGACACAGUAGCAAGCAUUUUGUGGAGUCUGGUUAGGAGCUGUGGUAAAGGAUUUAAAGACGAGUAUUCUUGGGAUGCGUGGUCAAAUGUGUUUAGAUGACCACCGAUGUCACUGAAUGUGUGUGCUUGUUUUCUGAUAGGUGAAGGGGCUUGAUUUAAAAUCCUGUUAAGUGACCGUUUCUCCUCGGUCGGUUGAAUACAUUAAAAGAUGACACAAAUCAAAUACAGCCUAAGAUUCAAGUCAUAUUAAUUUAGGAAAUACCAAAAACAAGCCAACAAAAAUAUAUUGUGUAAACUUACUAAAGUACGAUGAAGUAAAGUCUAAUCCUGACAUGGACAAAUUCAAUGGAGGUCAUGUAGUAAUGUAUUAGACUUUGUUCUGAUGUAGUAUGUGUGUAGUUGUGAAGCAGUCUUUUUUUUUUUCUCUAUAGUGCCUUUCACUGACACAGCCUGGCUUGAGCAAUCUACAGACACACAGAGAAGAUAUACAGGGUGACAAAUUAAAGGAUGGUUUAUGCUGCAGGGAGAUUUUUUUGUUGCUGUUUCAAAUUUCAAAUUUCUGAGCUAUUCUAAAUUUAAAACAUUUCACUUUGAUGGCUGAAGUCUCUUACAAGAUGAAAAUACACCCAUCCAAAUUGCCUGUUUAAUUGCUUGGUAAGAAUGAAAAUAAUGGGAUCCAUAAACUAUGGACUUAUCAGUCUGAGAUCUCCCCCCAGGUCUCCAACAACGUUAUCAAAAUACAUAAUGAGGGAAUAUUUUUUCAGAAGAAUAUUGUUUUAUUCCUCCAAUAGUUCCAGAGACAUGAACUGGCUUAACACUUUAAACACCCUUAAUGCUGGGUCAACCUUUAACUUUUUACCCAUCUGUUACUGAGAAGACAAGCAAACCAGUAGGAGGCUAUAACAAUGAAAGAGUGUUCUGUAUUCAUUCUUAAUCUGUCAUUUACGCAAUUACAUUUUUUAAAAUUAAACUGCUCAUGCAUGUAAAAUAAUAACACAAACAUAACAGCUGCUGUAUGUGUGUCCACAGUCGGGCCGUUUACAGUCUUAGUUAUUUUAGCUAAUCUUGCAAUCUAAACUCUUUCAACCACCUCCGCUGGUGGCAGAUGUAAAACUCUUCUCAUUGUGUGUCUCUUUAUUUGAGCAAGCCAGCUGCUGUAACAGUGUAUUUUUAUUGUUCAUGUAUCCACAUUACAAACGCCAUUCACUUGUGAUUUUUUUAUAGGAAUCCUUUACAUUUAGCAGCCAUGCCUCGGAGCCGACAGAUUGUCUUUAGUCAACUUGUUUGCUGUGCUAUUUUGUUAAUAUUAUUGUAAAAUGCAAAGAAUGCAGCGCUACGGCUUUUUUCCAAAUGUAGCACACACACAAAAAAAUCGUAACUUCUGAAUGUCUUUUUUGUUGCCUUGAAGUUUUGUACUUGCCCUGCUCCCUUUAAACUUUGAUAUAUGGCUAUAGAGGCUGCAUAGUGCUGCAGGUCAUGUAAUGUGUGUUACUUGUAAAGCACCAUAUAGCUGCAAUACAGGACAGAGACUGUUGCUAACAGCCUAGCCUCAAGCUGAGAAAUGUUAAUAAUCUGUGAUCAAUUCCACUCUACAAACUGUGGGUCAGACGCAGUGUCAGCGAUCUGCCUUCUUAACCUGUAAUCUGUGACAGACAAAAGCUGUUUUCUCUUGUAACACUGAACUACGUAGAUAGUGUAUCAGGAGUGACAAUGCACAAAAAAUACCCACUCAAUAAUAAUAAUACAAAUAGGACUAGCCACCGAUGCCUUCAAAAUACAAAUUUUUUCUUUAAAUGCAGUACUGCCCUGCAGUGAACAAAAGCACUGAAAUGUCCUGCGAUGCUCUUUUAGAUAACUUCCUGUAAUGGAGACUCGUACAAUAAUCCAGAAAAAUUCGAUAUGCGUUGCUUGCACUGAGGACAUCAUGGUCAACAAUACAUUUUGCCGAAACACUCUCGGUCAAUAAUUCAGUCUUAUUUAUAUUAUAUCAAUUCACAACUACAGUCACCUCAUGGUGCUUGAUCCCAGCAAUACAAAGUAUCAGAACACAGCAUUCAAACUAGAAUGUAAACCUUGAGUGUUGUAAACUCAUUGGGUCCUGAAGUGCACUUGCCACAUAACACUAGGGCAUCAAUCAUGGCACUGACCAGUCCUGCCUUAUUCCUUAUAUGCUCUUGAAUAUUCCUGAUAGGAAAACAAACAAUAAUGUCAUCAUAAAAAAACGACACAGCGACACAAGCAGAGAUUUUUUUUGUAAUCUCAAUGGGAGAAGCACGUUCCUAUCCUGUAUACAUCUUGAUUUACUACACAUAUAUAGACAAUUCAUUUGUUCUUCUUCUGACUUCCUGUUUAUUUAAAUAUUCUGUGUGGUUUUUGUGUAGGAACUGUCCUUUUUAUUUUUGUCAUCUGGCACUUGUGUUCUUCUGGAGUUGUGUAAAUAAUGUUUGAGGAAUCAAUUAAACAGUUUUUGUGGGAUUUCUUUUUCUUUCAUUUUUAGCCACUGUUGAUAGACCAGUUCAUCACUUUGGUAUACAUCAAAAACUCUUCAGUGAUGUAAUGGAUUAUUGUAGAACGGACAUUCAAGGUCACCAGAAGAUUAAUUGAAUUAGCACCAUCUAAAGUUAUUGUAGUUUGACAAUUACUUUGGUUUAUGCCAAAAUACAUUAGUAUUUAGAUUUCCCAUUAGUCAAAGCAGUGUUUGUUUUUAUUGCUAAUUCUAAAAUGUAUGUUUUGUUUGUUAAUGUGCUCAAAUCUAAUGGCAAACAUGUAGACUGGCCACUUCAUCUGGUACACCUGUUAACACAAAUUUCUAAUCAGCCAAUCACAUGCUGGAAACUUAAUUUAUUUAGGAAUAUAGACAUGGUCAACAUGACAUGCUAAAAUUCAGAGUGUCAGAAUGUAAAAGAAAGGUGAUUUAAGAUACCCUUUUGGUGUCAGACAGUCUUGUCUGAGCAUUUCAGAAACUCAGAAACACCGCAACCAUCUCUAGGGUUUACAGAGAAUGGUCCAAAAAAAGAGAAAAGUUCCAAUCAGCAGCAGUUCUCUGAGUGAAGAUGCAUUAUUGAUGUCAGAGAUCAUAGGAGAAUUGCCAGAUUGCUUUGAGGUAAUAGGAAGGCAACAGUAACUCAGAUAACCACUUGUUACAACCAAGCCACACAGAAGAGCAUCUCCAAAAGUGCAAUUUAUCUGCAAUUUAACAGCAGAAAAACACACUAGGCGUUGCUGCUGUCAGCUAACAACAGUAAAGUGAAGCUAGGAUUCAUGUAAGCUCACCAAAACUGGACAAUGAAAACUGAAACUGAAAACAUGGAUCUAUCCUGUCUUCUAACAACUGUUCAAGCCAAAUGGUGGUGUUAUAACGAAUAUAAUAUUUCCUUGGCACAGUUUCAGCCCUUAAUACCUACUGAGAAUCACUGAAAUCCCACAGCCUGCCGCAGUAUUGUUGCUGACCAUGUCCAUCCCUUUAUAACUAGUGUAUACAUCUUCUGAUGGCUGCUUCCUGCAAGGUAACAAAUCAUUUCACAAAGUUCAGAUCAUCAGAAACUAGUUUCUUGAACAUGACAAUAAGUUCAAUGUACUCAAAUGGCCUCCACAGUCACCAGAUCGCAAUCCAAUACAGCACAUUUGGCAUGUGGUGGAACGGCAGAUUGUUGUCAUGGAUGUGCACCCAACAAAUCUGCAGCAACGGCAUGAUUUUAUCAUAUCAGUACGGACAAAAAUCUCUGAGGAAUGUUUCCAGCAUUUUGUUGAAUUGAUACCACAAAGAAUUAAGGCAGCUAUGAAGGCAAAAGGGGGUCCAACUAGUAGUAGGGUGUACCUAAUGAAGUGGGCAGGGAGUGCAAUUCUGUAUGGUAAACACCAAUGCCCUAUGGGUCUUAUGAGCAUGUGGUUGUGACCAAUGAGUAAGCUUCAAUUACUGUUAUUUUACCAUACAUACGAUAUAAAUACAGUAAAAGUUAUUCUAUUUUGUGUUUGUGGCUUUUUGUGUAUGUGAUCUGUCGAAAAGUUAAUAAAGUUCAG
ensembl:lncRNA